GGGGGGGGGGGGGGGGGGGGUUGGGACGGGCAGGGCGGGCGGUGGGGGCGGGGCUUGCUCUGCUGGGUCAGUGGCGAACGGGUGAGUAACACGUGAGCAAUCUGCCCCUGACUCUGGGAUAAGCGCUGGAAACGGCGUCUAAUACUGGAUACGAGCUGCGAAGGCAUCUUCAGCAGCUGGAAAGAAUUUCGGUCCGGGAUGAGCUCGCGGCCUAUCAGCUUGUUGGUGAGGUAAUGGCUCACCAAGGCGUCGACGGGUAGCCGGCCUGAGAGGGUGACCGGCCACACUGGGACUGAGACACGGCCCAGACUCCUACGGGAGGCAGCAGUGGGGAAUAUUGCACAAUGGGCGAAAGCCUGAUGCAGCAACGCCGCGUGAGGGACGACGGCCUUCGGGUUGUAAACCUCUUUUAGCAGGGAAGAAGCGAAAGUGACGGUACCUGCAGAAAAAGCGCCGGCUAACUACGUG
rnacentral:rRNA from 1 species